UUUUCCUCGGUAUGUGGAACUUUAAGGGGUCUAUGGGCAUGUGUCUCUGGUGGAUCUGUGGAGGCAUCGGAGACGAGUACCUCCUCUCCAUCCUCCCACCAGCAGCACUCAGUGAGUCCGGACAUGGAUGUGUUUCUCGGGCUGGGUAAACCUCCAUUACCUCGCCAUCUUGCGGGCUAACGUUAGCGCCCAGUUCGGCAGCAGCAGCAGAACCUCUCCUCGGACGAGCUGCCGCCCUCCGGGUCAGACUGUCGCCCAUCGUCGACUCUGUUCCUACCCGUCACUCUGUCACUGUUCGUCGGGGAGAGCUCCGUGAAAUCUACGCUGUUACCUCCGGAUCCAGCAGCAGCGAAGGGAGUCAAAUCUCACCACAACCCGCGCCAUGCUUCCCGUGAGAACUCAUCUUCUUCUUCAUCCAGAUUUAAUAACGGCAGCUCAUCUACUGAACGAAGCUUUACUGCCAUCUCCUGAAAACUACAUGGUCCUGCAGGGUCCUCCAGGUCCAGCUGCCGGAUGGGGAUCGGCUUGUCGGCAGAGCUGUAGCUGACGGGAUGAUCGUUCAGAGAGAGCGACCUGGUAAUGACCAAGACGUCCUGAAACAGAAACACGUGGAGCUUCUGGAAAGAGAACGAGAGAGAGAAGCUCUCCGCGGCAGCUGAGCGUCCUGGAUCGGUCGAUGAGUUCGUCCCUGUGAGCAUACUUGAGUACAACAACCUGUUCCUUGUAGUACUGACACUCUGACUCCCCCGUCCGCCUGUUGAUGUCCGCCACCACGCUCUGAACCACCAGCAUCUGGAGAGAAAAGGAGCACAAUGUUUAAACAUCUGACCUAGAGAGUGACCCUACUCCUUUUUAUAACCUGGCUGUAGAAGCACAGUGACACCCACAGUAUGCACAAAAACUACAAUCAGGUGGAGACAUGUCUUCUGGUUUCCUCACCGCUUCGUCCAGGAGCUGUCGGUCCGGGUGGUCGUUGGGUGUGUGCUUCAGUAUCUCCCUGAGCAGCAGUGGGUACUUCACCAGUCGGCUGCGAGGGAUGUCCAGAAAGUUCCACAGGUCCAGCUUCCUGCUGAAAGGGGACGGAGACAAGCGCUGCAAGACGUCUGGACCCGGCGGUCCUGCUUUUUUCUGGUCCAACAGGGCCUUGGCCUUCCCACUGGUUACUGCAGUACGGAGUGUAGGAGGAGAUGGCAGGGCAGCUGGAGCGACACCCAACACAGACGUGGUUAGAAUCAGGAGAAGGAGAUAUAUUUUCCUGAUUUAUUUCUUAUAUUUUUCAGAGUCUUUUUAAAGUUCAUCCUUAAAUGUUUUUAAUGCACAAGGUUGUGAUAGACUUGAUUCAUUCACUGCCAAGCAGCAGGGAAACUAAAAAAGUGUUCACCUGAGACUAAAUUACAUCUGAGAUCUGCAAACUAUGGUUUACUCCAGCAUGUAAAAGCUCUUUUUUGAGUUUUCAGUCAGUUAUGAAACAGACUGAAUCAGACUGAGGCUUCAGUUUGGUCCACAAAAGCAAACAAGACCAUCAGGCUAACUCGAUAAAGUCAUUUUUAAAGCCUUAAACAGCAGACUGGAAUAGACUUUAUUUACAUCUUUAACAGACAAGUGAUACCUUUAACUGCAGAAAGACAGGGACCAGAUUAAACUUCUGAAAGAGACUUCCUCACAGGAGGUUAAAGUUUUGGAAAAACAUGUUCUCACCAGUCGGUCAGGAUGUGUCACAGUGUUCUGUGGAGCCGUCAGGUUUUCUGGCGUCUUGAAGGCGACUCAGGAGGUCUGAGGGAGGGAGAGGAGAAAUAUAGAGACCAUUGAAAGAAGAUUCAAAGCUGGAUAAGAUCCUUUGAAAUGACCUAUGUGACAGGAAAGUUUGUUAGCAACUCUCUGUCUUGUGUUUUCUGGGAAUCUGCAUUAUUCCCUGUGCAGAAUCUGCCUUCUCCAUCUGAGAGAGUCACUCUGAAACAGUUUUAAGGUCAGUGAGUCUGGAGCUCAUACUAAAAGUUAUACACUCUCACCCUCUGGUGGCAGUUAGAGGAACAUGUCUGAUUGAUUCACAGGUUACUUUACUCAUGAU